rnacentral:lncRNA from 1 species
GCCUUGUACUUAAUGAAAGUUUGCAACACUCUGAGGAACUGUUCUCAGUUCUUCUGCCUUAUUUCUGGGCUCCGUUGCAACUGUUUUGACCUAGUGAAGGCCUAGACUUUCUCAGACAGAUUUCUUUUAACUCUUCUGCCCUGACUCCAGUCUUCACUGAGAUGCUGCCUUGCACUUAGGGAAGGUUCACAUGCCUCAGGGAUCUCUCUCUCUCAGAUUUCUUGACUUUCCCUCAGUCUUCAGUAUAGUCCUCCUCUGUGCCUGGUGAAGACCUGUGGUAAAGUGCUGGCAGAGAGGAAGCUAAAUCACGUAAAAGUUAAGAAACAGCUCAGCGUUUCACAGCUAAACUGCUUCUUGCUGCCGCCAUAUG